rnacentral:rRNA from 1 species
GACGAACGCUGGCGGCGUGCUUAACACAUGCAAGUCGAACGGAAAGGCCCUGCUUUUGUGGGGUGCUCGAGUGGCGAACGGGUGAGUAACACGUGAGUAACCUGCCCUUGACUUUGGGAUAACUUAAGAAAACUGGGUCUAAUACCGGAUAGGAGCUCCUGCUGCAUGGUGGGGGUUGGUAAGUUUCGGCGGUUGGGGAUGGACUCGCGGCUUAUCAGCUUGUUGGUGGGGUAGUGGCUUACCAAGGCUUUGAAGGGUAGCCGACCUGCGAGGGUGACCGGCCACAUUGGGACUGAGAUACGGCCCAGACUCCUACGGGAGGCAGCAGUGGGGAAUAUUGCACAAUGGGCGGAAGCCUGAUGCAGCAACGCCGCGUGCGGGAUGACGGGCUUCGGGUUGUAAUCCGCUUUCGCCUGUGACGAAGCGUGAGUGACGGUAAUGGGUAAAGAAGCACCGGCUAACUACGUG